GGACGCUGGAAACCUUCUGUCUACACCUUAUACAGGCUUUUCAUGACUUGUCCAAAUAAUUGUUGUUGUGUAGUAUAAAUAAAAUCUUGUAUGGUACACUUCCUUUUGCCCUCUUUAUUACAGGCCUACUGCCUUGUCGGUUCAGGCACACCACAACCAACUGGUGUCACUAUCUUUUGUUAUAUAUAAGUAUCGUGUUUU